GGCUAUCGUCGAUCGGCCCUCUUUGCCUCUUCAGAACUUGAAUCCCCAAAUCCAUUCGACAAAAGCAAAAUCCCUAAACCUAAUUCCCAAGGCCACGACGUUGCUUGCACUACCGUCGAAUUCGUAAAGAUGGGCAAAUCUUACUACCGUGAGUGAGCAUUUACUGUUUACAUGCAAGCGAUAGAGGAAACCAAAUGAUGUGGGCAUUUAUAGUGAAUUACUUUUGGAUGGAUGGCGACUAUUUUAUUUCUUCCCCCGUAAUUUACUACAAUAUAGAUAACAUUUAUCACAGCAAUUUGUACACCUCAGAAUUUGUGUCCAACAAUUUUCUUAAAACAGCAACUAAAUAAAAUUUUAAAUUUACACAAA